GAUGAAGAACGUAGUGAAAUGCGAUAAGUAAUGUGAAUUGCAGAAUUCAGUGAAUCAUCGAAUCUUUGAACGCAUCUUGCGCUCCUUGGUAUUCCGAGGAGCAUGCCUGUUUGAGUGUCAUUUAACUUCUCAACCACAUUGGAUAUUUUUUUUCCGAUGCCUGCUUGGAUGUGGGGGUUGUUUGCAGGCUUUUUGUAACAAAAAAGGUCGGCUCCCCUGAAAUGUAUUAGUGGUAUCUGAGGCUAUUACUAUUAGGUGUGAUAAUUAUCUAUGCCUUUUGGGUAUGCCGCAUGAACAGAUUAUGCUGCUUCUAACGAAAACUAUUUUGAUGAAUUUGACCUCAAAUCAGGUAGGACUACCCGCUGAACUUAAGCAUAUCAAUAAGCGGAGGA
rnacentral:misc_RNA from 1 species